rnacentral:miRNA from 1 species
UAUUGUAAACUCUGCCUU